rnacentral:rRNA from 1 species
UACGAAGGGGGCUAGCGUUGCUCGGAAUCACUGGGCGUAAAGGGUGCGUAGGCGGGUCUUUAAGUCAGGGGUGAAAUCCUGGAGCUCAACUCCAGAACUGCCUUUGAUACUGAAGAUCUUGAGUCCGGGAGAGGUGAGUGGAACUGCGAGUGUAGAGGUGAAAUUCGUAGAUAUUCGCAAGAACACCAGUGGCGAAGGCGGCUCACUGGCCCGAUACUGACGCUGAGGCACGAAAGCGUGGGGAGCAAACAGGG